rnacentral:lncRNA from 1 species
CACCCACCCCCCCCAUCCCUGAGCCUCUCCACCCCCACCAUGCCCAUGCCACCACGAUGACCAUCCUGGUGCCACCACGUCCCUCGUCCCCAUGCCACCACGUCCCUCAUCUCCGUUCCUCCACAUCCAUCGUCCCUGUGCCACCAUGGCCAUCAUCUCCAUUCCUCCACCAUGCCACCAGGUCCGUCAUCUCCAUCUCCACCACCACUGUCCCUGUGCCACCAGGUCCCUCAUCCCCCUGCCUCUACGUCCCCAUGUCCGUUGUCCCCAUGCCACCAUGUCCAUCAUCCUCGCUCCUCCAUGUCCAUCGUCCCCGUGCCACCACGUCCAUCAUCUCUAUUCCUCCACCUCCAUCGUCCCCGGGCCACCAUGGCCAUCUUCCCUGUGCCACUACAUUCAUCAUCACCGGGCCACCACCUCCAUCGUCCCUGUUCCUCCAUCUCCACUGUCCCCAUGCCACCACGGCCAUCAUCCCUGUUCCUCCACCUCCACUGUCCCCAUGCCACCACGUCCAUCACCCCUCUGCCACUACGUCCAUUGUCCUUGCGCCUCCAUCUCCACUGUCCCCAUGCCACCAGAUCCGUCAUCCCCGCUCCUCCAUCUCCUUUGUCCCCAUGCCACCAUGGCCAUCAUCCCUCUUCCUCCACCUCCACUGUCCCCAUGCCACCACGGCCAUCAUCCCUGUUCCUCCAUCUCCACUGUCCCCAUGCCACCAAGGCCAUCAUCCCCGUUCCUCCACCUCCACUGUCCCCAUGCCACCACGGCCAUCACCCCUCUGCCACUACGUCCAUUGUCCUUGCGCCUCCAUCUCCACUGUCCCCAUGCCACCAGAUCCGUCAUCCCCGCUCCUCCAUCUCCUUUGUCCCCAUGCCAUCAUGGCCAUCAUCCCUGUUCCUCCAUCUCCACUGUCCCCAUGCCACCACGGCCAUCGUCCUUGUGCCACCACUGUCCCCGUGCCACCCCGGCCAUCGUCCCUGUUCCUCCACCUCCGUCGUCCCCGUGUCCCCUCCCUAGCCCGUACCUUGAAGAAGAAGCCGAGGCUGGCUCGGGUCUCGGCGCCGGCCCCCCCCUCGGUGGGCGACCCCUCCAAGGAGUCCC